rnacentral:lncRNA from 1 species
AGGUGCGCUUGCGCCUCUGAGUAGGCUUCGUUUGAGCUUCAUUGUGAGAUGCAGCUUUGGCACGUCUCCCAACUUUGCGCUGUGUGUCAUGAUGCGACGCCACCAUCUGAGUUCCCGUCGCACCUUUGUGGAUUUUCAUCAACUGGAUAUCCAUCGAAGACUUGACUUGCAAAGGGUUUUACACUUAAAGGCAGAGUCCAAAUUUGCAUGCUUUCUUUGGGGUCAAGGAGAGGGCAAGGUACCAAAUCCGGAUUUAAUGCUCUAGCUAACUGUGGUUAAUGCCAGGCCUGAGGCUGCUGCACCAUAGACACCUAAAUGGGGAAAAUAAAGGUAAUAGAAAAACCCCAAUAGGAGAUGUGGAACAACCAACUUGGAAACAUUAAAAGUCCGCAUCGUCUUCCUGUAGAACUUUUGUAGUCACCGUACCAUGGGGUUACUGGAAAACCUACAUUGAUUGUAGGUCAUCCCAGAACUCAGAAAAGUCUGCUCAGGUGGUCUCUCUCACAUGAGUUUGGAGAGUCAGUCCACUAGGACAUGCAGAGUUAACUGAUCAGCUUCCUGUCUCCUAACUCCUUUAGGCCUGGUGUAGUGCUAAUCCCAGCACUCGGGAGCAGAGGCAAGUGGAUCUCUGUGAGUUCCAGGGCAGCCUGGUCUACAGAUCUAAUUCCAAACAGCCAGAGCUACACAGAGAAAACGUGUCCGGGGAAAAAAGAAAGAAACAUGGAAGAAUGUUCUCCAAAACAAGACUAUAUUAGCUCUGUACUGGUACCUAGGCUGCUGGAGAUGUUGCAGGCUAAGAAUAAAUUGUAUCUGAUUGUGCAGCUUUUGGUUACAUUACAUUGUAUGAACAUUGUUGCAUUGAAGCUUUCAGGGUUAAGAAGAUCCCGAAGAACAAAGUGUUACACAUGCUUUCCACAUGCCAGGAGCAGAAAUACCGCAAUGGAGAAGUAG